UAGNUGUUAACUAAAAUUUCGUGGGAUGGUAGCCCACCAAUCUAG
rnacentral:tRNA from 1 species